rnacentral:rRNA from 1 species
UGGGGAAUUUUGGACAAUGGGCGAAAGCCUGAUCCAGCAAUGCCGCGUGUGUGAAGAAGGCCUUCGGGUUGUAAAGCACUUUUGUCCGGAAAGAAAUCCUUGGCUCUAAUACAGUCGGGGGAUGACGGUACCGGAAGAAUAAGCACCGGCUAACUACGUGCCAGCAGCCGCGGUAAUACGUAGGGUGCAAGCGUUAAUCGGAAUUACUGGGCGUAAAGUGUGCGCAGGCGGUUUGCUAAGACCGAUGUGAAAUCCCCGGGCUCAACCUGGGAACUGCAUUUGGUGACUGGCAGGCUAGAGUAUGGCAGAGGGGGGUAGAAUUCCACGUGUAGCAGUGAAAUGCGUAGAGAUGUGGAGGAAUACCGAUGGCGAAGGCAGCCCCCUGGGCCAAUACUGACGCUCAUGCACGAAAGCGUGGGGGAGCAAACAGGAUUAGAUACCCCUGGUAGUCCACGCCCCUAAACGAUGUCAACUAGUUGUUGGGGGAUUCAUUUCCUUAGUAACGUAGCUAACGCGUGAAGUUGACCGCCUGGGGAGUACGGUCGCAAGAUU